CCAGACUCCUACGGGAGGCAGCAGUGGGGAAUAUUUGGCAAUGGGCGCAAGCCUGACCCAGCAAUGCCGCGUGAAGGAAGAAGGCUUUCGGGUUGUAAACUUCUUUGACAGGGGAAGAGCAGAAGACGGUACCCUGAAAACAAGCCACGCCUAAUUACGUGCCAGCAGCCGCGGUAAUACGUAGGUGGCAAGCGUUGUCCGGGUUUACUGGGUGUAAAGGGCGUGCAGCCGGGAAGGCAAGUCAGAUGUGGAAUCUGGAGGCGCAACCUCCAGAUUGCAUUUGAAACUGUUUGUGUUGAGUACGGGAGAGGCGGACGGAAUUCCUUGUGUAGCGGUGAAAUGCGUGGAUAUA
rnacentral:rRNA from 1 species